rnacentral:rRNA from 1 species
AUGGAGCGACGGUUGCCGUCGCGGGUGGCCAGGACGCGGUGCCACGCGCUCUUGUACCGGCCAUUGCUCAUCACCUUACAAUACUGUACUACUCAACGUACCUCAAUCUGGUCGCCGGUGUUGAUGACGAUGGCGUUCUCCACGGGCUGGACGUCGGCCCAGCGGCCAUCGCGGCCGAGCACCUGCAGCCCGCCGACGCGGUCGUCCUGGAAGAGAAGGAUGAGGCCGCCGGCGUCGGUGUGGGCGCGCAGCCCGUCCACCAUCUCCGGGCGCGGGCACGGCGGGUAG